UACGAAGGGGGGCUAGCGUUGCUCGGAAUUAUUGGGCGUAAAGCGCACGUAGGCGGCUUAGCAAGUCGGAUGUGAAAUCCCUUGGCUCAACCAAGGAAGUGCAUCCGAAACUGCUGAGCUUGAGUACGAAAGAGGAUCGCGGAAUUCCCGGUGUAGAGGUGAAAUGCGUAGAUAUCGGGAGGAACAUCAGUGGCGAAGGCGACCACCUGGCCCAACACUGACGCUGAGGUGCGAAAGCGUGGGUAGCAAACAGG
rnacentral:rRNA from 1 species